UGAAAAUGGAAUGUAGCUCCAAAGUAACAAAACCAGGGCACGGUUUCCAAAUGACGGGUGUUUAAUAGUGUCUUUGGGGUUGUCUUGGUACACCAACACC